rnacentral:rRNA from 1 species
GAUGAACGCUGGCGGCGUGCUUAACACAUGCAAGUCGAACGGAGAUUACUUUUUAGCUUGCUAAGUUGUAAUCUUAGUGGCGGACGGGUGAGUAACGCGUGGGUAACCUGCCUUAUACCGGGGGACAACAGUUGGAAACGGCUGCUAAUACCGCAUAAGCGCACGGGAAGGCAUCUUUCUGUGUGAAAAACUCCGGUGGUAUAAGAUGGACCCGCGUCUGAUUAGCCAGUUGGCGGUGUAACGGACCACCAAAGCGACGAUCAGUAGCCGGCCUGAGAGGGCAAACGGCCACAUUGGGACUGAGACACGGCCCAAACUCC